rfam:Salmo salar isolate Sally breed double haploid chromosome ssa08, whole genome shotgun sequence.
UGCAUUCACUACUGUAAGUCUCUCUGGAUAAGAGCGUCUGCUAAAUGACAAAAA